rnacentral:lncRNA from 1 species
AGGUACUUCCAGUGCCCGCCAAGUUUGGUCUCUUUGCAUCCAUCCACAAGGUGAUCCAUACUGGCUUCCCAUCCACCAGCCCAGCCAAGGCCAAGAAGACCAAACGUAUGGCCAUGGGUGUGUCAGCACUGACCCACAGUCCCAGCAUUUCCUCCAUCAGUUCCAUCGGUUCCAUGGCCUCCUUUGUAGGGGGGCGGCCA